rnacentral:lncRNA from 1 species
GAUGACAGCACAUCUUCCUGGGUCGGUUAUGAGGAUGGGAGGGACGCGGUCGAGAAGCUUUAUCUUAUCCUAGAUCUAAACAACAUAACUGUCUCAACUGGUGCACUUAAAGAGGAGCCAGUCGAUGAUACAACGGUUCCGACUGAAGAAGAAGUCAUUGAAGGGGCUACCCUGAUCGAAGAAGCUGCACCAACUGUGAUAGAGUCGGCCCC